GUGGAAGUGUUUUCCAGCCUCCUUAUUUUGUAUAUAAGUGGGCCAGUUGGCUAGAUUAAAGAGAUUUGUUUUACCCCUUCAUCAAGUCUAGGCUGAUAUUUGGGGACUUGGGAACUAUAAUUACUAUUUUGCUUUGGACUCGGGAGCUUCAUAACUGUAAAUAAGCCGCAUACAUAGCAAAUAUACUCUUAUAUACUCAGCCGGUAUAUAACGGAUCCGGUACACUUACGAUCUUUCUUUCGUAUUAAGGGGCACAUAGCGUUUACUCGCACACGUUCCUCCCUCUGGGAGUAGACGGC